CUGCAUGCAGGAGAGACACCAUGAGCACAAAGGUGGUUUUCCCAGGGUGAGGCUCAUCCACUGCACUCUGGGUGUGCUGACCCCUGUGAUUUCCCCAAAUGCGGAAAACUCAACUGCAUAAUUUGUGGUAGUUUAAUAUUGUGCUAUAUAAAUUUUAA